rnacentral:rRNA from 1 species
UGAAACCGUGUACGUACAAGCAGUGGGAGCCUCUUAAUGGGGUGACUGCGUACCUUUUGUAUAAUGGGUCAGCGACUUAUAUUCUGUAGCAAGGUUAACCGAAUAGGGGAGCCGAAGGGAAACCGAGUCUUAACUGGGCGUUAAGUUGCAGGGUAUAGACCCGAAACCCGGUGAUCUAGCCAUGGGCAGGUUGAAGGUUGGGUAACACUAACUGGAGGACCGAACCGACUAAUGUUGAAAAAUUAGCGGAUGACUUGUGGCUGGGGGUGAAAGGCCAAUCAAACCGGGAGAUAGCUGGUUCUCCCCGAAAGCUAUUUAGGUAGCGCCUCGUGAAUUCAUCUCCGGGGGUAGAGCACUGUUUCGGCAAGGGGGUCAUCCCGACUUACCAACCCGAUGCAAACUGCGAAUACCGGAGAAUGUUAUCACGGGAGACACACGGCGGGUGCUAACGUCCGUCGUGAAGAGGGAAACAACCCAGACCGCCAGCUAAGGUCCCAAAGUCAUGGUUAAGUGGGAAACGAUGUGGGAAGGCCCAGACAGCCAGGAUGUUGGCUUAGAAGCAGCCAUCAUUUAAAGAAAGCGUAAUAGCUCACUGGUCGAGUCGGCCUGCGCGGAAGAUGUAACGGGGCUAAACCAUG